AUUGAACGCUGGCGGCAUGCCUUACACAUGCAAGUCGAACGGCAGCACGGGUGCUUGCACCUGGUGGCGAGUGGCGAACGGGUGAGUAAUACAUCGGAACGUACCUUAUCGUGGGGGAUAACGCAGCGAAAGCUGUGCUAAUACCGCAUACGCCCUGAGGGGGAAAGCGGGGGAUCGAAAGACCUCGCGCGACUAGAGCGGCCGAUGCCUGAUUAGCUUGUUGGUGGGGUAAAAGCCCACCAAGGCGACGAUCAGUAGCUGGUCUGAGAGGACGAUCAGCCACACUGGGACUGAGACACGGCCCAGACUCCUACGGGAGGCAGCAGUGGGGAAUUUUGGUAAAUGGGGGCAACCCUGGUCCAGCAAUGCCGCGUGAGUGAAGAUGGCCUUCGGGUUGUAAAGCUCUUUUGUCAGGGAAGAAACACCGGCUCUAACACAGUCCGGGAAUGACGGUACCUGAAGAAUAAGCACCGGCUAACUACGCGCCAGCCGCCGCAUUAA
rnacentral:rRNA from 1 species